UGAAUAGGUACAAAUUGUGCCGAAUACUGUGAAAGAAGUAUAUGACUACUGAUUGAGAUGAACAUUCUGAAAGAAACUCCAUGGGAACAUGAAUGGAAUUUUAAAAGAAGACUUAAUAUCGAUUUGAGAGUCAAGGACUGACUCUGAGAAAAGGAAUUUAAGACUUAGGCAAUGGCAGCAUUUAAGUAGACAGAGACAAGGUAUAGUGUCUUAACCAUAAGUCAUAAUCUCAUUUUUAAAAAAUACACUGGCCACUAUGUAGAAGAUAAAUUGAUGUGGUUGGGUGUAUUCAGAGGGAGAAGGGACGGAGGCAGAAAUGUUAAUGAGAUACGCAAUUAAGAAGAUGCUGUAAUAUUUGAAGCAAGGGAUUAUGAAGGCUUGAAUUUAGGUGUGGCAACAGAGAAACAGAAUGGAGAAAAAAAUACUGUCAGUUUCUUAACCUGGGACCUAUAACAAGGCUGCUCACAGAAAAGGAACUAUCUCCAGUUUCACUGGGUGCCCUGGAUUCAUAGAUGGACAAAAUGUGCAUGAAGCACCAUACCAGAGAGAUAUGGAACUCUAUUUUCAGAAUUUUUCAGAAUGUCCACUGGGCAGCCAGCUGAUUGAACUCAGAAAUGGGACAUGUUCUCUCCCUAUGCGGUGAAUCUAUAACUGUGAGGAUAGGAAGCAGAAAGGAUCCAGGCACAUACACUUCCCCUACUGUAGAAGGCUACUUUGAACGGUACUUCUCUCAAUCCAUUGUAAGUUCUGCAUGCUGAUUCAUCUGCUGUGUCUCAUCACUGCUGAAUGUGAA
rnacentral:lncRNA from 1 species